ACUGGUCUACUACUAGGUCAUGUGUCUUCUCAGUCAUGUUGACACUGGUCUACUACCAGGUCAUGUGUCUUCUCAGUCAUGUUGACACUGGUCUACUACCAGGUCAUGUGUCUUCUCAGUCAUGUUGACACUGGUCUACUACCAGGUCAUGUGUCUUCUCAGUCAUGUUGACACUGGUCUACUACCAGGUCAUGUGUCUUCUCAGUCAGGUUGACACUGGUCUACUACCAGGUCAUGUGUCUUCUCAGUCAUGUUGACACUGGUCUACUACCAGGUCAUGUGUCUUCUCAGUCAUGUUGACACUGGUCUACUACCAGGUCAUGUGUCUUCUCAGUCAUGUUGACACUGGUCCACUACCAGGUCAUGUGUCUUCUCAGUCAUGUUGACACUGGUCUACUACCAGGUCAUGUGUCUUCUCAGUCAUGUUGACACUGGUCUACUACCAGGUCAUGUGUCUUCU